GGCUUAAUGGUCUAGCGGUAUGAUUCGCCCUUCGGGUUCUACAACCCUCAAGUUAAACUUGAAUGGGCGAGGUCCUGGGUUCGAUUCCCAGUUGAGCCC
rnacentral:tRNA from 1 species